UUCAUUGAGAUAAUUGAGAAAUUAAUCCAUAAAUCGACAGCAUUUCAUCUCUUCCACUCGAUUACCAGGUCUGUUUUACAAGCGACAAUCAGAGCUAUGUGUCGAGCUGGUAGCCAUAGCCAAUCGCAAGAUUUUUGUCUCUCCCGCGGAAGGAGUAGGCAGCGUUCAAGUCCGACAAAUCUAGGGAUAAGAACACUGGAAGUUACCGCACCAGCCGGAAGUACGAACUCGAUCGCACAAAGAUGAUCCUGAUUGGGUCUCCGUUGGGAAUGGGAACCAUCUCCUACAAUCCCUUCUUCUCGAACAGAUUGCGAAGUGGAUUUUACAGCAGAGCUCGUUCUAGGCACCGUCUCUGCGUUAAUGGAGGAGAAAAUCGAAAGAAGAAAAAGGUCGUCGUCGUCGGCUCCGGCUGGGCUGGCCUUGCCGCUGCUAAUCACCUCUGCAAUCAGGGAUUUGAUAUCACUGUUCUUGAACCCGGCAACGAUUAUGGUGGUGCUGACAAUCAUGGAAUUCGUGGUUACUGGCGUCCCUACAAGAACAUAUUUGGCCUCGUUGAUGAGCUUGGUAUCACUCCUUUCACAAACUGGACAGCACCUGCUCAUUAUUCAGUUGAUGGAUUGGAGGUAAAAUUUCCAAUAUUCCAAGAUCUGCCUCAACUGCCAACUCCUCUCGGAACCUUAUAUUAUACAGAAUUUCUCCAACUCCCGUUGUUGGAUCGCUUAUCGUCACUUCCUUUGAUGGCUGCAGUGGUUGACUUUGACAACACGGAUACAGCAUGGAGAAAAUACGACUCAAUUACCGCCCGGGAGCUAUUCAAGCAGUUCGGCUGUUCGGGAAGGCUCUAUAGUAGCAUACUCAAUCCAUUGCUUCAAGUAGGACUAUUUGCUCCAGCCGAGCAAUGCAGUGCUGCAGCAACCUUGGGAAACUUAUACUAUACUAUCCUUGCUCACCAGAAAGAUUUUAAUCUAGUCUGGUGUCGUGGAACUGUUAAAGAGAGAAUUUUCCAGCCAUGGAUUGACUUGCUGGAAAGCAAGGGAUGUAAAUUUGUUAGGAGGAGCAAAAUCACAGAUGUAAUUGUAGAUGAUGAUACAAAUCGUCUCUCGGACGUUUUUUGUGGCGGAAAAAGAUAUGAGGCCGAUGCAGUUGUUUUCGCUGUCGGAAUUUCUAUACUUCAAGAACUCGUUCGUAAUUCGGCAGCAUUGCAAACAAAAGAGGAGUUCCUCAAGGUUUUGAACUUAAGAACAGUUGAUAUGCUGACUGUUAAGCUUUGGUUUGACAGAAAAGUUAAUAUUCCAAAUUCGAGUAAUUCUUGCUCGGCUUUGGAUAAUUCAUUUGGGUGGAGUUUCUUCGACUUGAAUGCCAUUCAAGAUGAACACAAAGAUGAAUCAGUUACAGUCUUGCAAGCUGACUUUUAUCAUGCCAACGAGCUGAUGCUGCUGAACGAAGAAGUUAUAGUCGAAAAGGUGAAAUCUUACCUCUCAACGUGCGUUAAGGACUUCGAGAAUGCCAUCGUAGUGAAGAAGGAAAUCGGAAAGUUUCCAGCAACAUUGACUCACUUCUUUCCUGGUUCAUACAAGUACCGGAUGUACGGGUUCACAUCGUUCUCAAAUGUAUUCAUGGCUGGAGACUGGAUCAUAAACCGUCAUGGUUCGUGGUCACAGGGAAAAAGGCAAGAGAGCGGAUGGAAAAUCUGCAGGUAAUUACACUUGGAUGUUCAGAGCUAUGAAAGCUUAGCUCUCCCUCCCCAGAGACAUUAAAAGAUAAAAGGGGAAAAAAAGGUAUGAUAAAUGAAGCCUUUUCAAGCUGCAGGUCACUCCCAACCCAACUAACAGUCAUCAUGCAACUCCCAAACCUUCUACAGCUUUAAUGGCAGCUUUUGUUAGAGAAAAAAGUUAAGGCUCUGUUUGGCAGUCCCACUUAUUUUGUCUAAAACGAGUUGUGCCACUGCCACCCUCCAUGGAUGCUUGGUUGUUACUCACUAAUCCACCGAAAGAAGGGUGAAUCAAUGUUGUUGUAAGGCGGCGGCAGUCCAGAGGUUAGUAUACAAACAAACUCUCGUAUUUCUUUUUUCAGAAUCUCGGUUGCAGAACGGAACGAAAGAUUCUCUAUGAGAGUGUGAAAACCUCUCACUAGCAUACGCAUUUUAAAAUCUUAGAGGAAAGCCCGAAGGAAAAACUCAAUGAGUAAAAUAUCUGCUAGCGGUGGAGUUCAGCUGUCACAAAUGGUAUAGAGCAAGACAUCGGGCAAUGUGCCAACGAAGAGACUGAACUCCGAAGGGGGUGGACACCAGGGGGUGUGCCAACAAGGAUGUUGGGUCCACGUUGGUUGGGGAGGGGAACAAAACAAUAUUUAUAAGGGUGUGGAAACCUCUCUCUAUCAAAUGCAUUUCAAAACCUCAAGGGAAAGCUCGGAAAGGAAAAUUCAAAGAGGAUAAUAUCUGCUAGCGGUAGACUUGGGUUGUUACACUUUCCUCAACUACUUACAAACCGAACCCAUUUUUAGAGCAACUGCGUAGGGGUGGGGGAACUUGUUUCUUCUUGCUAAUCUAAGUGGAAAUCAUUUUGCAAAAGUUUAGUGGCUUUUGUUUAAUCCUUGCCUCGUUAAUCAAAUUCUAGAAUGGAAAUCUUGUACUUUAUGUCAAUCGUUCCUUCCAAAUCUGAUGAAAAGGCCUCUUUUGCUUUCUACUUUUGCCAUGCUUCAGAUUUUUAAUUCAAGUCUUUAGUUCAUAA